UUCAUAUUUCAAUAAUAUUCAUUCGUAUACCACUUGGCCGAAUGCUCAUGUAACUAGAUUAUCAUUAAUAUCAUUUAAUUUCCACCAUCGAAUAAUCAUCACUAACUUAGUUCACAAUCCAAAAACAUAUAAGCCCAUGUAUCACAAUAUGAUUUCAUAUGUACAGGUUAAUUAUGUAGCCGAAUGUGUAAAAUCACACAUGCAUAUAAUUGUAACUCAUCCAAUAAUAUUCACAAGAUCGAAUACACUUACCUCAUUUUAAUUAUUAAAAAGCUG
rnacentral:lncRNA from 1 species